GAAUUUUCCGCAAUGGGCGAAAGCCUGACGGAGCAAUACCGCGUGAGGGAGGAAGGCUCUUGGGUUGUAAACCUCUUUUCUCAGGGAAGAAGAAAUGACGGUACCUGAGGAAUAAGCAUCGGCUAACUCCGUGCCAGCAGCCGCGGUAAUACGGAGGAUGCAAGCGUUAUCCGGAAUGAUUGGGCGUAAAGGGUCCGCAGGUGGCAUUGAAAGUCUGCUGUUAAAGAGUCUAGCUCAACUAGAUAAGAGCAGUGGAAACUACAAAGCUAGAGUUUGGUCGGGGCAGAAGGAAUUCCUGGUGUAGCGGUGAAAUGCGUAGAUAUCAGGAAGAACACCAGUGGCGAAGGCACUCUGCUGGGCCGACACUGACACUGAGAGACGAAAGCUAGGGGAGCGAAUGGGAUUAGAUACCCCAGUAGUC
rnacentral:rRNA from 1 species